ACGAACGCUGGCGGCAUGCCUCACACAUGCAAGUCGCACGAGACCUUCGGGUCUAGUGGCGCACGGGUGCGUAACGCGUGGGAACCUGCCCUUAGGUUCGGAAUAACUCCCCGAAAGGGGUGCUAAUACCGGAUAAUGUCUUCGGACCAAAGAUUUAUCGCCUUUGGAUGGGCCCGCGUUGGAUUAGCUAGUUGGUAGGGUAAAAGCCUACCAAGGCGACGAUCCAUAGCUGGUCUGAGAGGAUGAUCAGCCACACUGGGACUGAGACACGGCCCAGACUCCUGCGGGAGGCAGCAGUGGGGAAUAUUGGACAAUGGGCGAAAGCCUGAUCCAGCAAUGCCGCGUGAGUGAUGAAGGCCUUAGGGUUGUAAAGCUCUUUUACCCGGGAUGAUAAUGACAGUACCGGGAGAAUAAGCACCGGCUAACUCCGUG
rnacentral:rRNA from 1 species